GACGAACGCUGGCGGCGUGCUUAACACAUGCAAGUCGAACGGAAAGGCCCUGCUUUUGUGGGGUGCUCGAGUGGCGAACGGGUGAGUAACACGUGAGUAACCUGCCCUUGACUUUGGGAUAACUUCAGGAAACUGGGGCUAAUACCGGAUAGGAGCUCCUGCUGCAUGGUGGGGGUUGGAAAGUUUCGGCGGUUGGGGAUGGACUCGCGGCUUAUCAGCUUGUUGGUGGGGUAGUGGCUUACCAAGGCUUUGACGGGUAGCCGGCCUGAGAGGGUGACCGGCCACAUUGGGACUGAGAUACGGCCCAGACUCCUACGGGAGGCAGCAGUGGGGAAUAUUGCACAAUGGGCGGAAGCCUGAUGCAGCGACGCCGCGUGCGGGAUGACGGCCUUCGGGUUGUAUUCCGCUUUCGCCUGUGACGAAGCGUGAGUGACGGUAAUGGGUAAAGAAGCACCGGCUAACUACGUG
rnacentral:rRNA from 1 species